rnacentral:rRNA from 2 species
CAGGCGGAAUCUAGAGGGGAGCUUGCUCCCAAAGAUUAGCGGCGGACGGGUGAUUAACACGUGGGCAACCUGCCUGUAAAACUGGGAUAACUCCGGGAAACCGGGGCUAAUACCGGAUAAUAUCUAUUUAUACAUAUAAUUAGAUUGAAAGAUGGUUCUGCUAUCACUUACAGAUGGGCCCGCGGCGCAUUAGCUAGUUGGUGAGGUAACGGCUCACCAGGGCGACGAUGCGUAGCCAACCUGAGAGGGUGAUCGGCCACACUGGGACUGAGACACGGCCCAAACUCCUACGGGAGGCAGCAGUAGGGAAUCUUCCGCAAUGGACGAAAGUCUGACGGAGCAACGCCGCGUGAGUGAUGAAGGUUUUCGGAUCGUAAAACUCUGUUGUUAGGGAAAAACAAGUACCGGAGUAACUGCCGGUACCUUGACGGUACCUAACCAAAAAGCCACGGCUAACUACGUGCCAGCAGCCGCGGUAAUACGUAGGUGGCAAGCGUUGUCCGGAAUUAUUGGGCGUAAAGCGCGCGCAGGCGGUUCCUUAAGUCUGAUGUGAAAGCCCACGGCUCAACCGUGGAGGGUCAUUGGAAACUGGGGAACUUGAGUGCAAAAAAGGAAAGUGGAAUUCCAGUGUAGCGGUGAAAUGCGUAGAGAUUUGGAGGAAACCAGUGGCGAAGGCGACUUUCUGGUCUGUACUGACGCUGAGGCGCGAAGCGUGGGGAGCAACAGGAUUAAAUCCCUGGUAUCCCGCCGUAACGAUGAGUGCUAGUGUUAGAGGGUUCCGCCUUUAUGCUGCAGCAACGCAUUAGCACUCCCCCGGGGAAUACACCGCAGGUUGAACUCAAGGAUUGACGGGGCCGCACAGCGGGGAGCAUGUGUUUAUUCAAGCACGCGAGACCUUACAGGUCUGACUCCCUGACAUCUAAAAAAGACUUCCCUUCGGGGACGAUGACGGUGUGCUGUUGCCUCGCUCUGCCAGAAAUUUGGUUAAUCCCCACGACGCA